GAUGAAGAACGUAGCGAAAUGCCAUACUUGGUGUGAAUUGCAGAAUCCCGUGAACCAUCGAGUCUUUGAACGCAAGUUGCGCCCGAAGCCAUCAGGUUGAGGGCACGUCUGCCUGGGCGUCACAUAUCGUUGCCCAAUGCCUAUUGCAGUGCAAUAGGAAUUUCUAGGGCGAAUGAUGGCUUCCCGUGAGCGUUGUUGCCUCGCGGUUGGUUGAAAAUCGAGUCCUUGGUAGGGUGUGCCAUGGUAGAUGGUGGUCGAGUUAGAACGAUACCGAUCAUGUGCAUGCUCCCCAAAAUAUGGCCUCUAUGACCCACACGCGUCUUUUGACGCUCAUGACGAGACCUCAGGUCAGGCGGGGCUACCCGCUGAAUUUAAGCAUAUCAAUAAGCGGAGGA
rnacentral:misc_RNA from 1 species